rnacentral:rRNA from 1 species
GAUGAACGCUGGCGGCGUGCCUAACACAUGCAAGUCGAACGAAGCACCUAACUUUGAUUCUUUCGGGAUGAAGAGUUUUGUGACUUAGUGGCGGACGGGUGAGUAACGCGUGGGUAACCUGCCUCGUACAGGGGGAUAACAGUUAGAAAUGACUGCUAAUACCGCAUAACCCGCUAAGGUCGCAUGACCUAGACGGAAAAGAUUUAUCGGUACGAGAUGGACCCGCGUCUGAUUAGCUAGUUGGUGAGGUAACGGCCCACCAAGGCAACGAUCAGUAGCCGACUUGAGAGAGUGAUCGGCCACAUUGGGACUGAGACACGGCCCAAACUCCUACGGGAGGCAGCAGUGGGGAAUAUUGCACAAUGGGGGAAACCCUGAUGCAGCGACGCCGCGUGAGCGAAGAAGUAUUUCGGUAUGUAAAGCUCUAUCAGCAAGGAAGAUAAUGACGGUACUUGACUAAGAAGCCCCGGCUAACUACGUG